GCCUCCUAAGCCACCUCUUCUAGAUCUUCUCCUUUGGCCUUUUACCCAACCUCCCACCAUGAACUUCAGGGUGUCUAUCCAGCAAGAGCUGCUGCCUCAUCAAUCCAUAAAUGUUCAUCAGGAAAUGCCCGUAAAUCCCAGUCCAGCCCACAAUGCCCCAUGUAAUAUCCAUUUUUUUCCUUUUCUCAUCCGAGCAGUAUUGCCUGACAUAGAUCUGCAGUGCAUGUAGCAAUGUAUGGAUUUAUGUGGAUUCACAGAAGAGCAUCAUACAUUAAUUCUGAGGAUCACCAGAAAGCUUGAACAAGACCUUCAAUAAAAAUUUAAAGCUGCACAGCUUACAGUUUCCUGAUUACUCAAGAAUAAAAUAUAGGAUGCAUAUAUCAUGCUGAGAACAAUGCUACACCUAAUUUGCUUCAGCAAAUGAGAUCAAUUAAAAAUAACUCAACAAAAAUGAUACUGAAUCUUCAAUUACUUCAAGAAGAUGAAGAGCCAGACAUACAGUAAUUGACUUGUUCAUCUUCUUGUCCUUUAAAAC